UACGUAGGGAGCAAGCGUUGUCCGGAUUUAUUGGGCGUAAAGAGCUCGUAGGCGGUUUAGAAAGUCAGGUGUGAAACCUCCAGGCUCAACCUGGAGACGCCACUUGAUACUUCUAUGACUUGAGUUCGGUAGGGGACCAUGGAAUUCCUGGUGUAGCGGUGAAAUGCGCAGAUAUCAGGAGGAACACCGAUGGCGAAGGCAGAUCUCUGGGCCGUAACUGACGCUGAGGAGCAAAAGCAUGGGGAGCGAACAGG
rnacentral:rRNA from 1 species